GACGAACGCUGGCGGCGUGCUUAACACAUGCAAGUCGAACGGAAAGGCCCUGCUUUUGUGGGGUGCUCGAGUGGCGAACGGGUGAGUAACACGUGAGUAACCUGCCCUUGACUUUGGGAUAACUUCAGGAAACUGGGGCUAAUACCGGAUAGGAGCUCCUGCUGCAUGGUGGGGGUUGGAAAGUUUCGGCGGUUGGGGAUGGACUCGCGGCUUAUCAGCUUGUUUGUGGGGUAGUGGCUUACCAAGGCUUUGACGGGUAGCCGACAUGAGAGGGUGACCGGGCACAUGAGGACUAAGAUAGGGCACAGACUGCAACGGGAGGCAGCAGGGGAGAAUAUUGCACAAUGGGCGGAAGCCUGAUGCAGAAACGCCGCGUGCGGGAUGACGGCCUUCGGGUUGUAAACCGAUUUCGACUGAGACGAAGCGUGAGUGACGGUAAUGGGUAAAGAAGCACCGGCUAACUACGUG
rnacentral:rRNA from 1 species